ACGAACGCUGGCGGCGUGCUUAACACAUGCAAGUCGAACGGAAAGGCCCCUUCGGGGGUACUCGAGUGGCGAACGGGUGAGUAACACGUGAGUAACCUGCCCUUGACUUCGGGAUAACUUCAGGAAACUGGGGCUAAUACCGGAUAGGAAUCCUUGCUGCAUGGUGGGGGUUGGAAAGCUUCGGCGGUUUUGGAUGGACUCGCGGCUUAUCAGCUUGUUGGUGGGGUAGUGGCUUACCAAGGCUUUGACGGGUAGCCGGCCUGAGAGGGCGACCGGCCACAUUGGGACUGAGAUACGGCCCAGACUCCUACGGGAGGCAGCGGUGGGGAAUAUUGCACAAUGGGCGGAAGCCUGAUGCAGCAACGCCGCGUGCGGGAUGACGGCCUUCGGGUUGUAAACCGCUUUCAGCAGGGGCGAAGCUUGUGGUGACGGUACCUGCAGAAGAAGCACCGGCUAACUACGUG
rnacentral:rRNA from 1 species